ACGCGAAGAACCUUACCAGGUCUUGACAUCCUCUGACAAUCCUAGAGAUAGGACGUCCCCUUCGGGGGCAGAGUGACAGGUGGUGCAUGGUUGUCGUCAGCUCGUGUCGUGAGAUGUUGGGUUAAGUCCCGCAACGAGCGCAACCCUUGAUCUUAGUUGCCAGCAUUCAGUUGGGCACUCUAAGGUGACUGCCGGUGACAAACCGGAGGAAGGUGGGGAUGACGUCAAAUCAUCAUGCCCCUUAUGACCUGGGCUACACACGUGCUACAAUGGACAGAACAAAGGGCAGCGAAACCGCGAGGUUAAGCCAAUCCCACAAAUCUGUUCUCAGUUCGGAUCGCAGUCUGCAACUCGACUGCGUGAAGCUGGAAUCGCUAGUAAUCGCGGAUCAGCAUGCCGCGGUGAAUACGUUCCCGGGCCUUGUACACACCGCCCGU
rnacentral:rRNA from 1 species